rnacentral:pre_miRNA from 2 species
UAUAUACUCCCUCCGUACGGAAAUACUUGUCGAAGAAAUGGAUGUAUCUAGACGUAUUUUAGUUUUAGAUACAUUCAUUUUUAUUCAUUUCGGUGACAAGUAUUUCUGGACGGAGGGAGUAUGUG